GGAAAUGAACUGGACCCACCACCUCCAUCUGAUUCCAGGAACAUCUCGACCCUGGCCAAACCUGACCCUGCCAACUCCUCACCACAGCAAAAUUCUGAGAAAGAGAGCUGUCCUGGUAUCUCCCAGAGAUGCACAGUCCUCUUACUCUCUGUGUGUGUUCUCCUGUUGGCCGUUGCUGUUACUAUGGUAGCGCUCUAUGUUGUGAAAGUGGAGAAAUAUUCAGAAACUGAAAGGAUGUUAAUUGAGCAGAAAAACAGAAAUGAUGAUCUCACCAAGGAGAACACAAAGCUGAAGACUGAGCUACAAGGUGAGAUUUCCAUACAUCUGUGGUGGACUGUAGGUUCCUAGACCUUGUCUUCCUUCUGGUGCACAAAAGCACUGAAAAAGCAACA